UACGUAGGGUGCAAGCGUUGUCCGGAAUUAUUGGGCGUAAAGAGCUCGUAGGCGGUCUGUCGCGUCGGAUGUGAAAAUCAGGGCUCAACCCUGGACCUGCAUUCGAUACGGGCAGACUAGAGUUCGGUAGGGGAGACUGGAAUUCCUGGUGUAGCGUGAAAUGCGCAGAUAUCAGGAGGAACACCGGUGGCGAAGGCGGGUCUCUGGGCCGAAACUGACGCUGAGGAGCGAAAGCGUGGGGAGCAAACAGG
rnacentral:rRNA from 1 species